rnacentral:rRNA from 1 species
GAAAGAACAGAAAAAAAGAGGAAUAGAACAACUUUG